GCCCACGUAGCUCAGUCGGUAGAGCACCUCCUUGGUAAGGAGGAGGUCACCGGUUCGAUCCCGGUCGUGGGCU
rnacentral:tRNA from 2 species